CGCCCAAUCGCCGGGCUGCCUGAGAAGUUUGCAUGCUCUUGCUGCUGAUCGAUCACCGUUUUACUGGCAUUGAAAUUCCAAACGCUCUCCCAUCAAGGUUACGCGCAUUAUUAGCCCGCGAAUGCAUUAUACUUCAAAGCAUGCCCAGCAGAAUGCAGCAGGAAUUUGUUCAAGAUGCACGUACUGUUCCUUUCCGGACCUGCAGCGCCAUUUAAGAGUUACCGCGAGUCUACCAUGGGGAGUAAUAGCGCGUUCCGCUCAGCGCAGCAGCUUCUGUCUCAGGGAGACUAAAUUCGAAGGAAGUAUCAAUAACAGCAGUGGAAAACGCCGUGCUCCUUAUAUAAAACAGUGAAAAUGAAUCACGACUCAACGCCUACAAGUUAGAAACUGACAGGGGUUCCCUGGUCCAGGCAAAUACAUUUUCUGAGUGCUGACAGAUGUAUCCAUGGGGUGUGAACUUAAGAAGAUUUUUCUUCGAAAUGUGAUUAAUUCCUUUUUGCCUUUGUUUCGUUUAUUCUGUUGAAGUGUUAAUAUUAAAAUCCGGCGCCACAUUUUUUGUAUAACUUAAUAAAGGCAAUAUUAAUUGACUUUUCUUGAGCCUUGGUCUAUACCACGGGCAAUGUUAGUGGAAGUUUUAAAACACAACUUUCUUGUUGUUUUUGUGGAGUCAUAAAAUAAAGAUCCUGGAUUUUUUUAUUUUUCUUCAUCUUCUUCUUCAAUAAAUACUGUUAUGAAAACGUAAAUAA